GUCCAGGGGCGGGAAUCGAACCCACGACCUUCCGCUUACCGGGCAGAUGUCAUGUCCACUAGGCUACCCUGGA